rnacentral:pre_miRNA from 1 species
AUGUUACUUCCUUCGUUCAGAAUUACUUGUCAGAUAAAUGAAUGUAUGUAGAUGUAUUUUAAUUUUAGAUACAUCCAUUUUUAUCCAUUUCUGUGACAACUAAUUUUGGAAGGGGAGGGAGUAUAUC